CAACUCUUGGCAAUGGAUCUCUUGGUUCUCGCAUCGAUGA
rnacentral:rRNA from 1 species